CUACGGGCCGCUCCAGUGAGGAAUAUUGCACAAUGGGGGGAACCCUGAUGCAGCAACGCCGCGUGGAGGAUGACGCAUUUCGGUGUGUAAACUCCUUUUAUAUGUCAAGAAAAUGACGGUAGCAUAUGAAUAAGCACCGGCUAACUCCGUGCCAGCAGCCGCGGUAAUACGGAGGGUGCAAGCGUUACUCGGAAUCACUGGGCGUAAAGGACGCGUAGGAGGGUUGGAAAGUCAGGUGUGAAAUCCUACAGCUUAACUGUAGAACUGCACUUGAAACUUCUAAUCUAGAGUAUGGGAGGGGGAGAUGGAAUUAGUGGUGUAGGGGUAAAAUCCGUAGAUAUCACUAGGAAUACCUAAAGCGAAGGCGAUCUCCUGGAACAUAACUGACGCUAAGGCGUGAAAGCGUGGGGAGCAAACAGGAUUAGAUACCCGUGUAGUC
rnacentral:rRNA from 1 species